AUUUAUCUUGAUAGCAUGGUGAUUGUUCAUAGGAAUGAGAUCUGCGAAUGCAGAUAAAAUGGUGGCUAAAAAGGUGGUGGAACUAUGCUGGAAAGAGGUUACACCGCAAAAUGAUUUAAUUUUUGCUGUCAAAAAGCUUCAUAUAUUAAGUUCUAAGGAUCUUGGCAAGCUAAUAAGAGAUGCCAUGAAUGGUAUCAUUAAAUAUACUAUAAAUGGAUCAUCUUUUGAGAUAAAUGUGGAAAAUCU